UACGGAGGGGGUUAGCGUUGUUCGGAAUUACUGGGCGUAAAGCGCGCGUAGGCGGACGUUCAAGUCGAGGGUGAAAUCCCGGGGCUCAACCCCGGAACUGCCUUCGAUACUGGAUGUCUGGAGUUCGAGAGAGGUGAGUGGAAUUCCGAGUGUAGAGGUGAAAUUCGUAGAUAUUCGGAGGAACACCAGUGGCGAAGGCGGCUCACUGGCUCGAUACUGACGCUGAGGUGCGAAAGCGGGGGGAGCAAACAGG
rnacentral:misc_RNA from 1 species